CUGCGGACAGGUGGUUUCUGCAGCGCCUUUUGUCCAGCUGGCCGGGUUAGCCGGCAGGCUGCUCGGGACAGAGUCUGCCACUGAUCACACAGCGAAGCUGCCGCCUCAGUUACGGCCGUGCAGCAGUGAGCAGUCUCUUUUGAUGUACAUUCUGAAGAGCUUACACAACAGGACAGGGAUUUUUAGCACACUUCAGUUCUUUCCUGAAACAGCAGUGCUAAUGAGACUUGUCUUCCCAUGGAUUAUGUCUCAUGUUUCAUUGCAGAGCUCACCUGAACCCUUUUCCAUAGACAAGUCACACAUUAAUAGACACAGAAGUCCAUGA
rnacentral:lncRNA from 1 species